CGUCAAUAUGGAUAUUUAACACCCUAACAACCGCACUGCCCCUUUAACUUAUAAAAUAGUGAACUUCACCUCUGCUUUCCUAUCCCAGGUGAGAAGCCCAAUGUGUGCCAGGUGUGUGGCAAAGCCUUCAGCCAGAGCUCCAACUCAUCACUUGCAGCUAUCAGCACAGUGGCAACCAACCCUACCACUGACCCCGCUGCCUCUUCGGCUUCCAACGCAAACAGGAGAACCACCGCACAUACUUUCAGUCUACGACCCUGCUACCAGCUGAUCUGAGAUCAGUUUUAAUAAGCAAGCGAACAACAGCAAAUAGAUAGCAACUCAGAGGCUCUCACAUGGUUGCUAAUGUUUGCAUUCCCAGGCUAAUCAUUGUUUUAUUAUUUUAGGUGAUCAAACUCCCUUGAUUGUCAGUGAUUUACCUGUAAGGGUGUAGUUAAAGAUAUGGCCCUUUGAGAUAUAAUACGUUUUAGUGCUUGACAAAUAUAUUUCUCUUGUGACACCCAUGUAGCUUCUCUGGAACUGAGUCAUCCUCUUCAGUUCUCUAGAAAAUAAACAUUUAGCUGGAAUGGAUUGGGCUGAGAACUCCCCACCCUCCCUCUCUGUCAGCGUUACCCUAUAAAAGCAGAGCCAUCUCUCCACUCUGCACUAGAACACCUGAUUACUACAACCUUCAAGCGCGCCAUCGCAUCUCUCCUUUCUCUAUCGUUGCAGCAAUGGAUUGUGCUUCAACUGUCGUCACUUCACAUACCAACAGCAAAAACGACUGCAAUAAAAAAAAAUGUGUUGCCCCAUGUCCUACUGAAUCAGGCAAAAACAUAUCAGGUCAAAACAUAUCAGGUCAAAACAUAUCAGGCCAAAACAUAUCAGGCCAAAACAUAUCAGGCAGUGUGGGCGGAAGUAUUUCCAUUGGCAACCAGGACAAUACCAUCACUCAUACCGCUUAACAAACAACUCCCAGAAAAACUGUCGCACCCAGCAUCACCAUAGCCAACAUAACAGGUGGCAAAGUGGGUCUCUACUACAAGGCAGAGAAGAUGGCUCUCUGUGACCUCAGCGAGGGAAGUCAACUCAGGAAGGGCCACUCUAUUCUCAUCCUGGAAAACACCUUUAAGAAGACCCCUCUUCCUCCUCUAUGUCACUGGCUUCCAAGUAGAAAGUGACAAUACACACAGAUUAAACUACAUACAAAUUAUUGAUUAAAAAUAAAGAGAGAAUAAAUCUCAGAUAAGUGAAAAAGUGCUACAAGAUAUACUUUGAUUGUAUGUUCAAAUUCAGCAAUGUAAUCAAUGUAGGUUUUUGACAAAAAAAUAAAUGGUACCAAACUGAGAAAAUGUUAGUAUGUGUUCUGUAAGAUGUUAUCAUGAGUGUGUGUGUGUGUGUGUGUGUGUGUGUGCGUGUGUGUGAUAACAUUACAUCACUGGGGUUGCCACCAGAUAUCCUACAUACUGAUACUAAUUUUAACAAAGGUCAACAACACAAUAUUGUAAUCAAAGUUUUAUUUCUAAGGUUGAAGUCAUGUUAU
rnacentral:lncRNA from 8 species